rnacentral:tRNA from 1 species
UUUCAUGUGGCUCAGCGGUAGAGCGCUCACCUAGCGUGUGGGAGACCCUGGGUUCGAUUUUCAGCACCACAU